ACCUCCACCCAGCUCUCCGGCUGCGUCGUCCGCCGUCCGCUUCCUGGCGGCUGUGUGCCUGCGUCGUCCCCGUCCGCGGCGUCUCCGGCCCUCCGCGUGAUUGGCGAGACCGCGAGAGGCGAGCGCAUCGCAUCGGGCGCUAGCGUGCCGCCUCCGUCCUCGGCCUCCGCCCCUCCGCAGCUCCGCUCGUCUGCCCGACGCCGCCACGCCGGACACUCUACAGCAAGCCGUCGUUGUUUGGCUUGCCUGUGUGGCGCCGGCGGGCCAGCAGCGCUCCCUUCUCGCCGUCGCCACAAGCACGAACUCUUCCCUCCAGGCCUCCACAGUUCCACCCCUCCAGGCUCCAGCUCCGCUUCCAGGAUUCCAGAAAUUCUGAAUUAUGAAGAGGAAUGGGGAUAUUGCUUCUCUCUUUAGGAAGCAUGAAGCAAAGAAAUUUGCUGCUGCUGCUUUAUCUCCACCAGCUCCGGCUACAAAAGUUGUUGAAGAGGGAGAUCGGGAGCACGAGAGUGGAACUGAAGAAAUUGUGGAAUCUAGCCUUGUGCAAUCUUCUGUGGUUUCAGAAAUACAUUUGGACUUAAUAUGUUUGAACCAUUUGCAUUAUAAUUUAUGGACCCUUGGUACUUAAUUGUUGAAUUUAA